AUUCUGCCCAUGCGGGGAAGGAUGAGAAGCUUCGACCAGGGUUCGACUGGAGCGCCAGCGAGAGAGCGUUGCCGCAGGCAACGACCCGAAGGGCGAAGCGCGCAGCGCUGAGUAAUCCUUCCCCCACCACCA
rnacentral:sRNA from 1 species